UACGGGGGGGGUAAGCGUUGUUCGGAAUUACUGGGCGUAAAGGGCUCGUAGGCGGCCAACUAAGUCAUACGUGAAAUCCCUCAGCUUAACUGGGGAACUGCGUCUGAUACUGGAUGGCUUGAGUUUGGGAGAGGGAUGCGGAAUUCCAGGUGUAGCGGUGAAAUGCGUAGAUAUCUGGAGGAACACCGGUGGCGAAGGCGGCAUCCUGGACCAACACUGACGCUGAGUGAGCGAAAGCCAGGGGAGCAAACGGG
rnacentral:rRNA from 1 species